rnacentral:rRNA from 1 species
GAUUAACGCUAGCGGCAGGCAUAAUACAUGCAAGUUGAACGAGAUUAGUUUUAGCAAUAGAACUAGUUUAGUGGCGCACGGGUGCGUAACGCGUAUGCAACCUACCUUAAACAGGGGAAUAGCCUCCCGAAAGAGAGAUUAAUACCGCAUAAUAUAUAUUUAAUGCAUAUUAGAUAUAUUAAACCUACGGGGGUUUAAGAUGGGCAUGCGUGACAUUAGCUAGUUGGUGAGGUAACGGCUCACCAAGGCAACGAUGUCUAGGGGGUCUGAGAGGAUGUCCCCCCACACUGGUACUGAGACACGGACCAGACUCCUACGGGAGGCAGCAGUAGGGAAUAUUGGACAAUGGGCAAAGCCUGAUCCAGCAAUACCGCGUGUGUGAAGAAGGCCUUGG